ACACUCGACCACUUUAACCUGCAGCACAUCACUUUGCUGUUACCACCUCGCAUCGAGAUAUCAACCACCAUCGAACCUUGCGACCACCACUUCUUGGGAAAUCCGGAUCGCCAUCCACGGUUUCGGUCACGGUUACCCAGAAGCGAGACGGAGAUCAAAGACAUCUCACAACGUCAACUGAACUCAAGACCACAAGACAGCUGGAAGCUCCAUCUUCUUCAAAAAACCCCUCCCAAGCGAAAUCCCCCUUGUCAGCACUUGUGGGCCAAAUUUCUGUCUUUAAAGUCCUGAGCUUCACCGUCCACUCACUCCUCUACCGGCGACGCAAGAAGCCUUGAAAAGAGCUGGAAUAAUCUCAAUUCCACCUUUUGCUCAUCGCCUGUGGCUGCCCCGCUAGGUACCUAGGCCACUGGUACAAAUAUACCUACCAUUUUCAGCACCUUGCUUGCAGUCUCUCAGCGCACUUUGUCUUUCUUCAUGAUCAGAGAACUGUGACACUCUGCCCAAUAUACCAAGUCGAAUUACCUCCAACCAUCCAAGGAAGCCAUCAUCACCACCAUUAAUUAUUCUUCUUCUCCCUCCCGGAAGCUUCAUCAACAGCCCGAUCUGCUUCUAUCCUUCACGGCCUUGGCUGCGGUUUCUCUUCUUCGCUUUGAUUCAACAGCUCACGCCAUACCCACCACAGCAAUUUAUCCACACGAACUCGGCACGGCGGCAGAAACCAGAUCUCUUGUCGCUCGGCCACCUGACGACGACUUUAUAUCCGAU